rnacentral:rRNA from 1 species
UACGGGGGGGGCAAGCGUUGUUCGGAAUUACUGGGCGUAAAGGGCUCGUAGGCGGCCAACUAAGUCAGACGUGAAAUCCCUCGGCUUAACCGGGGAACUGCGUCUGAUACUGGAUGGCUUGAGUUUGGGAGAGGGAUGCGGAAUUCCAGGUGUAGCGGUGAAAUGCGUAGAGAUCCGGAAGAACACCGGUGGCGAAGGCGGCCUGCUGGGCAGUGGCUGACGCUGAGGCGCGACAGCGUGGGGAGCAAACAGG